rnacentral:rRNA from 1 species
CCCUUAGAUGUUCUGGGCCGCACGCGCGCUACAAUGAUGAAUUCAACGAGUUUAUAACCUUGGUUGAAAAGCCUGGGUAAUCUUUUGAACUUUCGUCGUGAUGGGGCUAGACCCUUGCAAUUAUUGGUCUCCAACGAGGAAUUCCUAGUAAACGCAAGUCAUCAGCUUGCAUUGAUUACGUCCCUGCCCUUUGUACACACCGCCCGUCGCUCCUACCGAUUGAUUGAUCCGGUGAAUUACAUAGAAUUUUGCGUUUUACAUGACGGAAGAUGAAGUGUUUUAAACCUUAUCAUUUAGAGGAAGGAGAAGUCGUAACA